AGCGAACGCUGGCGGCAGGCUUAACACAUGCAAGUCGAGCGGGCACUUUCGGGUGUCAGCGGCGGACGGGUGGGUAACGCGGGGGAACGUGCCCUCUGGUUCGGAAUUACUCAGUGGAACUGGAUCUAAUACCGGAUACGCCCUUUUUACGGAAUGCUUGCUGCCGGAGGAGCGGGCCGCUUCUGAUUAGCUGGUUGGUUGGGUAACGGCGCACCAAGGCGACGAUAAGUAGCUGGUCUGAGAGGAUAAUCAGACACACUGGGACUGAGAAACGGCCCAGACUACUGGGGGAGGCAGGCGUGGGGAAUAUUGGAAAACGGGCGCAAGCCUGAUCCAGCCCUGCCGCGUGAGUGAUGAAGGCCUUAGGGUUGUACAGCUCUUUUAUCCGGGACGAUACUGACGGUACCGGAGGAAUAAGCCCCGGCUAACUUCGUG
rnacentral:rRNA from 1 species